rnacentral:rRNA from 1 species
AUUGAACGCUGGCGGCAGGCCUAACACAUGCAAGUCGAACGAGUGGCGGACGGGUGAGUAAUGUCUGGGAAACUGCCCGAUGGAGGGGGAUAACUACUGGAAACUGUAGCUAAUACCGCGUACCAUAGGAUGAGCCCAAGUGGGAUUAGGUAGUUGGUGAGGUAAAGGCUCACCAAGCCGACGAGCUCUAGCUGGUCUGAGAGGAUGACCAGCCACACUGGGACUGAGACACGGCCCAGACUCCUACGGGAGGCAGCAGUGGGGAAUAUUGCACAAUGGGCGCAAGCCUGAUGCAGCCAUGCCGCGUGUAUGAAGAAGGCCUUAGGGUUGUAAAGUACUUUCAGCGAGGAGGCGUUACUCGCAGAAGAAGCACCGGCUAACUCCGUGCCAGCCGCCGCGGUAAUAC